GGUUGAUCCUGCCGGUAGUCAUAUGCUUGUCUCAAAGAUUAAGCC
rnacentral:rRNA from 1 species